rnacentral:lncRNA from 1 species
GGAUGGUUAACAGAGGUGGGGGGAGCACUCAGGUAGCCCAUUCUCUGAGACCAUAAUCUCCUUCUCAAGUGUGGCUCACACCAUCCUCCCAGGCAGGGGUGGGGGCAGUGAAGGGUGCAGAGAAUCUCUCUCCAGCCAUGGGCAACAGAGCCAGUACUGCAUGCAUUUGCACUCCCCAAAACGUGCAUCCCAGCCCAAGUGCGAAGUUGGAUAUUUAGACCUGAAAAGCACAAUAAGAGCCAUUCAAAGCAGCAAGUUACAGUACCUUAAGGAGUCUUACAGAUGGGAGAAAGGCUGCGUGGCACAGCUUCCGGAUGGUCCAGUUUAGGGGUCGAGAAGCAUCAGUUUGAUUCAUGACCCUUUCCAAAUUCCACCGGGAAAACAAGAAACUGCAAACCUGAGCAACGCCUAGAAAAUAAAUGGUUCCCCACGGCCCUGGCAUCCCAUGGUCAUCUCCACACCUGAAAAUUCCAUUAGGGCACAGGCUUCCUGGAACUUGGGAGACUAGUCAAGUGGCGUUUCCUGAGCCCCUGAACCUUCUUAAGAAAGCCACCUCCCCUCUCUCUGCAGCCGUGCUCAUGCAUACCAAAUGUGGCUGAAUGAAGGCACACUGCCUGCUGCUUCGGGGAGGGGAUGCAGGGUUUUGAAGGAGAGGGACAGCCUGCACAAAACAGCCUGUGGUCGGAGUCAGAGCAGCCUGCUCCGGAAUGCACGCUCCCUCUCCCGCUCUCCUCCCAGCAAACGCAGUUGCCAGAAGUCUGCUCCAAGGAAAAGCUAAAGCACUCCAGUUGCCUACUCCUGCCCUCAAUGUUCCAAUAUGUGAAGAACUCCACACAAAUGACAGCACCAUUCUGAAAUCACAUAGCCUUUGAUCCUCCUAGCCCCUUUAAUUUUUAUGAAUCACUUUGGUCCAAGAAUAUAGUUAGGAUGUACAUGAAGUGAGGAAGUAGGAGGAUUCACAGCCCUCUCUAAUGGCGAUUAAAGGAGAGAAGCACAAAACCUCCAGGGAAUUGAUUUGGAGACUACACUGCAAAAGAGGUGAAGAUCAAAGAAAGAUGAAUUCCAAGACAGAAAGUUGUUCUUCCAUCUUUGGGGUAAUUUAUGCCAGAAUUGUUAGCAAAAUCUCUACAUUAGUUUUUCAGAAACUUUUUUCCUCCACUUUUGACUAAUGGUAUUUUCACAGGGAAUGAUGAUGCUGUCCCUGAUUUUGGAGGGGAGUCUGAUGAGGAACAGCAAAGGGGUACAAGUCCAUCCUCAGAAGUUAGCAUUUUACAAACCCAAAAAACUGGUUCAUAUAUUUUAUGAAUGUGGUGUUUACAAAUAUGCAGAAAACAUUUCAGCAGGCUUGAAACUGACAUGAUCAUAUUACUUUUCCCUGUAUCCUAAAAAUACAGCAAAUUUGGUGUAUCAAAUUUCUGCACUCCAAAUUCUGCCUUUCUUCAAACUCUAAUUCCUUCCCAUGUUCCUUAAGCCCGCUUCACACUGAGCACCUUCCCUUUUUAUGUCCUUUACAAAUGAUGCUAAAUUCAAGAAUCCUAAUAGCAUUUGAGCUCAGACUCAGUGCUGACAAUGAGCUAUGGUUACAGACAUACCACCUUUAUGCCUUUUGAAGGCCACCUUCUCUCUUUUUAGGAAAAUCAUGGCACCUUAAUAUACCUUGCACUACUUUGCUCAAUCUUACUAUCCCUUAGAUACAAAGGGGUUUGGCUGAUAAAAACCUAAGAAAACAAAAUGGAAAUGGCACACUGACCAGAUAGUACAGCAUAUUCAAAAAGCCUCAUGCAUAUGUGUUUUCUGCAAAUCACACACACACACACACACACACACACACACACACACACACACACUCCAGUAUAAUUUAUAACACUGAAAUGCUUCGGUAUCUGCACUUUAAUUGAGCAUGCAUUUCCAAGGCUCUACUAUAUGAAUGCGGUUUAUAUGGUGCAGAUGUUCAAGCAUCCAAGAAAAAGACUGGGAACCAGUCAAGCUUUUGUAGAGAACUUCAUCUGCCUCCACAUUUUUAGUCUUCAUAUUAACUUCCUGUUUGCUUUAGGAUUGACCUC